AGUGAACGACUAGCGGCGAGGCUUAAUACUAUGCAAGUUGGAGGGCGAGCAUGAUAUACGCGAGUAUAUUGAUGGCGACCGGCGGACGGGUGAGUAAUAGGUAGGAGACCUACCUCAUACGAGGGGGAUAGCAUAGAGAAAUCUGUGGUAAUACCCCAUGAGGUUAUAUGAAUAGAGGCAUAUAAUCAAAGCAUAAGCGAUUAUGCGGUAUGAGAGGGGCCUACUGACCAUUAGCUAGUUGGUGAGGUAAGGGCUCACCAAGGCGAAGAUGGUUAGGGGUUUUGAGAGAGAGACCCCCCACAUUGGAACUGAGAGACGGUCCAGACUCCUACGGGAGGCAGCAGUAGGGAAUAUUGGGCAAUGGGCGAAAGCCUGACCCAGCCAUGCCGCGUGAAGGAAGACGGCCUUAUGGGUUGUAAACUUCUUUACUACGCGAAUAGAGGUUAGUACGAGAUACUAAUAGGAAGGUAGUGUAGUAAAAAGCACCGGCUAACUCCGUG
rnacentral:rRNA from 1 species